CCCUAUGGGGUGCACCAGGCUUUUGAUUACAUUGUUAAAAGUGAAACUGCCUUUGUCCGGUUCCAAAGAGCGAUAACAACAAUUUUUCAUAAUCAGAAAUUUGAAAAGGCUCUGGGCUGGUAUAUGGAGAAGAUGUAGCAGCAUACCUUUCAAAACUAAUUACAAUAUUGACAAUUCGGACAGCAGAACUCAUUAACGUGAAUUAUGCAACUUAUUGUCAAAAUUGUGUAACAUACGCCAUGCGGAGCAAUCUACCUUUGACAAACUAAUGAUUUUCUGAAAUAUAGGACAUUGAUGCCACAGAAUAUAAUUUCUCUUAAAAAAUUCAAAUCAAAUCGAAUGUCAGUUAUAAUAGGUCUAUUAAUAAUUAAAACCAACUAAAAUGAAAAAGAUCGUUCUGUGUGCAUUGGCGGGGGGGC
rnacentral:rRNA from 1 species